GUAAGCACAGCAAUGUGUUCAGCUAACUGGUACUAAUAAGUCGUGAGGCUUGAUCUUAU
rnacentral:rRNA from 1 species